AGAGAAGACCAGCAGUGAGGAGAAGAGCACAAUCAACCUCACAGUGCAACCCCCAGAAGAAGAGCUGGAAGAGGAUCAGCCGUUAGGAGACCGUUCAGGGCACAUCAGUCAGCUGGAGAGCACAGUGUCCCAGAUGAGAGAGAGUCUGUUUCUGCAAUAAGUAGAGCUGG